CUUUCAAAGUUGCCGUUUGCCUCACAACCUUUACCCAAUCCUUAAAGGUUGCCUCCUUACCCAAACUGGUUGCAUAGUUAAGAGGGAUAGCCUGAUUUACACUGUACCUGCCUUCCAACUUUUAGUGAUUGAAUUUACCAUACUGAAAGAUAUAUUGAAGAUCUUUGAGUGUUUACCCUUUUCUUGAUCUGUGCCUUUGUAAAACUUUAUCCCUGAGUUUCUUUAAAAGCUGCUUAUUGGAGCUUUCACAGACAGCUGUACUGAGAGAGAGACUCCUGUCUCUGGUCAUGGGCAGUUACACUGUGAGAGUGAGACUCCUGUCACUGGUCAUGGACAGUUACACUGUGAGAGAGAGUCUGCUGUCACUGCUCAUGGACAGUUACACUGCGAGAGAGCGUCUACUGUCACUGGUCAUGGACAGAUACACUGCGAGAGAGAGUCUGCUGUCACUGGUCAUGGACAGAUACACUGUGAGAGAGAGUCUGCUGUCACUCCUCAUGGACAGUUACACUGUGAGAAAGUCUGCUGUCACUGACCAUGAGAGGGUGCUGCUGAGUGCAGACUGAAGGUUUUCCCAAAAAUAAUAGAAGAGAAAUAUUGGAAAACAUGAGCAGUUAAGUUCAAGUUUUUGAAUAAGUUUCCAAGAACUACAAAAGUUGUGUAUAUCUAAAAUAUUGUUGAAAAUAACCCUGUAACAGUUUUGUUUUCUUCCAAGUAAAUACACUAUUUAAACUCCUGAAUAAGGCC
rnacentral:lncRNA from 1 species